AUUAUUAUUUUAUUAUCAGUUUUGUUUGUUCAAAUCAACUAAACGAGUUCGUAUUUUCGAACGUUACAUUACUGGUGUGGUAUUGUUUUAAUAAUUAAUUUCUUUUUUUUAAUUUGAAAAACAUUAGAUUUUUGAAAAAUGGAAGAAGAUCAACGACGUAUGGAUAGUGCUAUGUAUAAUGUUUUAAAUGAUAUUGAUAAAAAAUGUCUAAGAAAAUUACAAAUUCAAAUGCAUCAAUGUUCAAUUGAUUGUUGUAAAGAUAAUUCCAAGAAUAUUGAAUCAUUAGGCAAAUGUGUGGAUAGUUGUUCAAAAGAAGUGGCUCAAUCUCGCAACUAUAUUCAAAAUGAAUUUAGUAAAUGGCAGCAAAGAAUACAACGUUGCAUACAAGACUGUCAAGAUUCAGUUACUGACAAGAUACAAGGAAAUCCCAGUGAAGCACAGAUAAGUAAAUAUACCAAAGAAGCUGAAGCUUGUGCCUCUCGUUGUAUUUCAAAACAUAUUGAUUUGUUACCACAAUUGUCAGAAAAAAUUGUGACAAAUAUUAAUAGUCAUUAAAAAGUUAAUUAUUAUAUUCAUUAAAUAAUUCAAUUGAUAUAUCUGUUAGUGAUUAAAACUAGAAAUUUGUUAAAAAUUAUUGUUAAUAAAAAUCUACUAGAAAAAAAUAAUUUUUUUAUUUAUUAUUUUAAAAAACUAUUAAAAACUAAUAUUUGAAGCUAAAACAAAUUUUUUAAAAAAUGUUAGUAGUUGUUAAAAACUAAUUUUUUGAUUUUAGUAAAAAUGUUCAAAAAUUGUA